CUAUGAAUCCAACAUCAUCUAUGAUGGUCUGCAGCUGGGAACAACCAGAUCAGUGUCAGUCCCUUUGCAGCCAUUGGUUGGGAGCAUGCAUAUUACCUGGAAUGGUAUUUGAAACAUGUCACACUAGCCGUGCCUUUGCUGUGGGCUGGGAGGCGAGUUUUGGAUGACAAGCUUGUAUUUGCAAAAGUACACACCCUGUGGGAGGUGCUCUGCACAUACGUUGAGAUACUGCACAUAAAAUUGCCUCUGAAGCCCAAUGAUCUGAAAACCCGGUCCUCAGCCUUUGAUAAUUUCAGCUGUUAUCUGAAAGUCCCCCAAGUGGAUGAAAGUAUCAUCAAGCUGGAGCAAGAGUUUUUCAUUUCCCUAUUUGAGAAGAGCUGCGUGAAUGACUUUUAUAUUCAGGAUAGAGAUACAUUCUUCAAUCCAGCCACCAGAAGCUGCAUUUGCAACUUCAGCCUCCAUCAGAGGACCUCAGCUGCCCC